GCGUGGGCAGGUCCGAAACAUUUUGCAGUGCAGACCUCUACUGGGCCCGACACCAACUGGUUCCUCUUCUCUGACUUCUGCAGGACGGUUCAAAACAUUCUGCAAUCCGGAACAUCUGCUGAGCCCCAGACACAGCACCUACUGGUUCCUCUUCUCUAACUUCUGCAGGACCAAUAUCAUUUUCUGACAAGGAGGAAAAAGACUGCACGCAGACAGUUGGCCUAGAAACAACUCGGAGUACAGAAACAGCAGAGCCGGUCAAUACCACAUCCCCACAGGAGGACAGCAGCAGCUCCACAGCACCGGAAAUGACAC